CCUACGGGAGGCUGCAGUGGGGAAUAUUGGACAAUGGGCGAAAGCCUGAUCCAGCCAUGCCGCGUGUGUGAAGAAGGCCUUCGGGUUGUAAAGCACUUUCAGUGGGGAAGAAAGCCUUGGGGCUAAUACCCUCGAGGAAGGACAUCACCCACAGAAGAAGCACCGGCUAACUCCGUGCCAGCAGCCGCGGUAAUAAGGAGGGUGCGAGCGUUAAUCGGAAUUACUGGGCGUAAAGCGCGCGUAGGCGGUCUGAUAAGCCGGUUGUGAAAGCCCCGGGCUCAACCUGGGAACGGCAUCCGGAACUGUCAGGCUAGAGGGCAGGAGAGGAAGGUAGAAUUCCCGGUGUAGCGGUGAAAUGCGUAGAGAUCGGGAGGAAUACCAGUGGCGAAGGCGGCCUUCUGGACUGACACUGACGCUGAGGUGCGAAAGCGUGGGUAGCAAACAGGAUUAGAUACCCGUGUAGUC
rnacentral:rRNA from 1 species